AUAUGGUCAAGUGAAGAAGCGCAUACGGUGGAUGCCUUGGCAGUCAGAGGCGAUGAAAGACGUGGUAGCCUGCGAAAAGCUUCGGGGAGUCGGCAAACAGACUGUGAUCCGGAGAUGUCUGAAUGGGGGAACCCAGCUGUCAUAAGACAGUUACCUUACACUGAAUACAUAGGUGUAUGGAGCGAACCAGGGGAACUGAAACAUCUAAGUACCCUGAGGAAAAGAAAUCAACCGAGAUUCCCUUAGUAGUGGCGAGCGAACGGGGACCAGCCCUUAAGUUGAUUUGAGAUUAGCGGAACGCUCUGGAAAGUGCGGCCAUAGUGGGUGAUAGCCCUGUACGCGAAAAUCUCUUGUCAAUGAAAUCGAGUAGGACGGGGCACGAGAAACCUUGUCUGAACAUGGGGGGACCAUCCUCCAAGGCUAAAUACUACUGACUGACCGAUAGUGAACCAGUACCGUGAGGGAAAGGCGAAAAGAACCGCGGAGAGCGGAGUGAAAUAGAUCCUGAAACCGUAUGCGUACAAGCAGUGGGAGCCCACUUUGUUGGGUGACUGCGUACCUUUUGUAUAAUGGGUCAGCGACUUAUUUUCAGUGGCGAGCUUAACCGAAUAGGGGAGGCGUAGCGAAAGCGAGUCUUAAUAGGGCGUCUAGUCGCUGGGAAUAGACCCGAAACCGGGCGAUCUAUCCAUGGGCAGGUUGAAGGUUGGGUAACACUAACUGGAGGACCGAACCGACUACCGUUGAAAAGUUAGCGGAUGACCUGUGGAUCGGAGUGAAAGGCUAAUCAAGCUCGGAGAUAGCUGGUUCUCCUCGAAAGCUAUUUAGGUAGCGCCUCAUGUAUCACUGUAGGGGGUAGAGCACUGUUUCGGCUAGGGGGUCAUCCCGACUUACCAAACCGAUGCAAACUCCGAAUACCUACAAGUGCCGAGCAUGGGAGACACACGGCGGGUGCUAACGUCCGUCGUGAAAAGGGAAACAACCCAGACCGUCAGCUAAGGUCCCAAAGUCAUGGUUAAGUGGGAAACGAUGUGGGAAGGCUUAGACAGCUAGGAGGUUGGCUUAGAAGCAGCCACCCUUUAAAGAAAGCGUAAUAGCUCACUAGUCGAGUCGGCCUGCGCGGAAGAUGUAACGGGGCUCAAACCAUGCACCGAAGCUACGGGUAUCAUCUUAGGAUGAUGCGGUAGAGGAGCGUUCUGUAAGCCUGUGAAGGUGAGUUGAGAAGCUUGCUGGAGGUAUCAGAAGUGCGAAUGCUGACAUGAGUAACGACAAUGGGUGUGAAAAACACCCACGCCGAAAGACCAAGGUUUCCUGCGCAACGUUAAUCGACGCAGGGUUAGUCGGUCCCUAAGGCGAGGCUGAAAAGCGUAGUCGAUGGAAAACAGGUUAAUAUUCCUGUACUUCUGGUUAUUGCGAUGGAGGGACGGAGAAGGCUAGGCCAGCCUGGCGUUGGUUGUCCAGGUUUAAGGUGGUAGGCUGAGAUCUUAGGUAAAUCCGGGAUCUUAAGGCCGAGAGCUGAUGACGAGUGUUCUUUAGAACACGAAGUGGUUGAUGCCAUGCUUCCAAGAAAAGCUUCUAAGCUUCAGGUAACCAGGAACCGUACCCCAAACCGACACAGGUGGUUGGGUAGAGAAUACCAAGGCGCUUGAGAGAACUCGGGUGAAGGAACUAGGCAAAAUGGCACCGUAACUUCGGGAGAAGGUGCGCCGGUGAGGGUGAAGGACUUGCUCCGUAAGCUCAUGCCGGUCGAAGAUACCAGGCCGCUGCGACUGUUUAUUAAAAACACAGCACUCUGCAAACACGAAAGUGGACGUAUAGGGUGUGACGCCUGCCCGGUGCCGGAAGGUUAAUUGAUGGGGUUAGCUAACGCGAAGCUCUUGAUCGAAGCCCCGGUAAACGGCGGCCGUAACUAUAACGGUCCUAAGGUAGCGAAAUUCCUUGUCGGGUAAGUUCCGACCUGCACGAAUGGCGUAACGAUGGCGGCGCUGUCUCCACCCGAGACUCAGUGAAAUUGAAAUCGCUGUGAAGAUGCAGUGUAUCCGCGGCUAGACGGAAAGACCCCGUGAACCUUUACUAUAGCUUUGCACUGGACUUUGAAUUUGCUUGUGUAGGAUAGGUGGGAGGCUUUGAAGCGUGGACGCCAGUCUGCGUGGAGCCAACCUUGAAAUACCACCCUGGCAACUUUGAGGUUCUAACUCAGGUCCGUUAUCCGGAUCGAGGACAGUGUAUGGUGGGUAGUUUGACUGGGGCGGUCUCCUCCUAAAGAGUAACGGAGGAGUACGAAGGUGCGCUCAGACCGGUCGGAAAUCGGUCGUAGAGUAUAAAGGCAAAAGCGCGCUUGACUGCGAGACAGACACGUCGAGCAGGUACGAAAGUAGGUCUUAGUGAUCCGGUGGUUCUGUAUGGAAGGGCCAUCGCUCAACGGAUAAAAGGUACUCCGGGGAUAACAGGCUGAUACCGCCCAAGAGUUCAUAUCGACGGCGGUGUUUGGCACCUCGAUGUCGGCUCAUCACAUCCUGGGGCUGAAGCCGGUCCCAAGGGUAUGGCUGUUCGCCAUUUAAAGUGGUACGCGAGCUGGGUUUAGAACGUCGUGAGACAGUUCGGUCCCUAUCUGCCGUGGACGUUUGAGAUUUGAGAGGGGCUGCUCCUAGUACGAGAGGACCGGAGUGGACGAACCUCUGGUGUUCCGGUUGUCACGCCAGUGGCAUUGCCGGGUAGCUAUGUUCGGAAAAGAUAACCGCUGAAAGCAUCUAAGCGGGAAACUUGCCUCAAGAUGAGAUCUCACUGGAACCUUGAGUUCCCUGAAGGGCCGUCGAAGACUACGACGUUGAUAGGUUGGGUGUGUAAGCGCUGUGAGGCGUUGAGCUAACCAAUACUAAUUGCCCGUGAGGCUUGACCAU
rnacentral:rRNA from 2 species